UACAGAGGGUGCAAGCGUUAAUCGGAGUUACUGGGCGUAAAGGGCGCGUAGGCGGUUAAUUAAGAUGGAUGUGAAAUCCCUGGGCUUAACCUAGGAACUGCAUCCAUGACUGAUAGACUAGAGUACUGUAGAGGGUAGUGGAAUUUCCGGUGUAGCGGUGAAAUGCGUAGAGAUCGGAAGGAACACCAGUGGCGAAGGCGGCUACCUGGACAGAUACUGACGCUGAGGCGCGAGAGCGUGGGGAGCAAACAGG
rnacentral:rRNA from 1 species